AGCAUACUCCCUCCGUCUGGAAAUACUUAUCAUCAAAAUGGAUAAAAAGGGAUGUAUCUAGAACUAAAAUAUGUCUAGAUACAUCUCCUUUUAUUCAUUUUGAUGACAAGUAUUUCCGGACGGAGGGAGUACCUA
rnacentral:pre_miRNA from 1 species